rnacentral:tRNA from 1 species
AGGGAUGUAGCUCAGUGGUAGAGUGCUUGCCUCGCAGGCAAGAGGCUGUGGGUUCAAUCCCCAGUACUG